AUUGAACGCUGGCGGAAUGCUUUACACAUGCAAGUCGAGCGGUAGAGACUUCGGUCUUGAGAGCGGCGAACGGGUGAGUAAUGCAUCGGAAUGUAUCCUACAGUGGGGAACAACCUAGCGAAAGUUAGGCUAAUACCGCAUACGCCCUGAGGGGGAAAGUGGGGGACCGCAAGGCCUCACGCUGUUGGAGCAGCCGAUGUCAGAUUAGCUAGUUGGUGAGGUAAAGGCUCACCAAGGCGACGAUCUGUAGCGGGUCUGAGAGGAUGAUCCGCCACUCUGGGACUGAGACACGGCCCAGACUCCUACGGGAGGCAGCAGUGGGGAAUUUUGGACAAUGGGGGCAACCCUGAUCCAGCCAUUCCGCGUGAGUGAAGAAGGCCUUCGGGUUGUAAAGCUCUUUCGGCAGGGAAGAAAUCGCAUGGGCUAAUAUCCUGUGUGGAUGACGGUACCUGAAUAAGAAGCACCGGCUAACUACGUGCCAGCAGCCGCAGUAA
rnacentral:rRNA from 1 species